CACGUAGGGACCGAGCGUUGUCCGGAUUUAUUGGGCGUAAAGAGCUCGUAGGCGGUUCGUCGCGUCGGCUGUGAAAUCCCGAGGCUCAACCUCGGGUCUGCAGUCGAUACGGGCGGACUGGAGUUCGGCAGGGGAGACUGGAAUUCCUGGUGUAGCGGUGAAAUGCGCAGAUAUCAGGAGGAACACCGGUGGCGAAGGCGGGUCUCUGGGCCGAUACUGACGCUGAGGAGCGAAAGCGUGGGGAGCGAACAGG
rnacentral:rRNA from 1 species